rnacentral:rRNA from 1 species
UACGAAGGGUGCAAGCGUUAAUCGGAAUUACUGGGCGUAAAGGGUGCGUAGGCGGUUGUUUAAGUCUGUCGUGAAAUCCCCGGGCUCAACCUGGGAAUGGCGAUGGAUACUGGGCAGCUAGAGUGUGUCAGAGGAUGGUGGAAUUCCCGGUGUAGCGGUGAAAUGCGUAGAGAUCGGGAGGAACACCAGUGGCGAAGGCAGCCCCCUGGGUUAACACUGACGCUCAGGCACGAAAGCGUGGGGAGCAAACAGG